rnacentral:rRNA from 1 species
UACGUAGGAGGCAAGCGUUGUCCGGAAUUACUGGGCGUAAAGCGCGUGUAGGCGGGCGAUCAAGUAUCUUGUGAAAUCCCACGGCUCAACCGUGGAACUGCUGGGUAUACUGGUUGUCUUGAGCCAGCUAGGGGCGAGCGGAACAGACGGUGGAGCGGUGAAAUGCGUAGAUAUCGUCUGGAACGCCGAAGGUGAAAACAGCUCGCUGGGGCUGCGCUGACACUGAGACACGAAAGCCAGGGGAGCGAACGGG